GGCAAUCCCAUGCAGAUGUUCUGGCAUGAGCAUGGAUAUGACACCGCAUUUUAAGAUGUUGUGAUGACAACCUGCUCUAAAGAUUUUAGAAUCGAUUCCAGAAAAAAAAAAAAUGUUUACACAAAAAAAUUACCUUCAAGACUACAACCUUCAAAAUCCUGAAGCUUGUGGCCAGAAAAGUGCCUGAAAAUCUUUUCUUCAGCUACCAUAGAACUUUUUACAAUGUCAAUAAAAUAAAAAAUAUAAAAUGCAACAAUUUCAAAUAUUAAAUAAAUAAAAAUUACUUUAGUGAUUAUUUUGGCAAUCUGCCAGAAUAUCAAGUCAAUAAAAGCACACAGACUCUUGGAUGAAUGUAAAAUUCAACAUGUGGUUAUAUUUUUUGCAAUUAUCUUUAUAGACAUUAUUUGCUUUGUCUCUCUAUCCUUCUAAAUAACCAUUAGGUCAACCAUCAGAUCAACCUUUACUGUCCUCAGAUUUCCCUGUCUUAAUAACACUCAAGGGUCUUUUUGCAGCCCAUCUCAUAGUCUUACUAUAGCAUUGUCUCAUCAGUAAGUUUCCAGCCAGGCUUGGACCAGAUCAUCUGUUUGAUCUGCUAUGUUUCACAUGACUAAACACCACCUCUUUGUCAUGUUGCAAAUGGACAUGCUUACUCACCAUUACUCCAAUUCCAAACUUCCAAAUCAGUUCUGAAUAUAUGAAGCCAUGGACCUCUUUCCAGUCAGUUUAUUGUGGUACAAAUGUACGCAACUUAAGUUAAACAAAACAAAUACCAGCUGAAGAAGCGAGACUACAGUUAAUCUGAUAUGAUUAACCCAGAAUCAUUUCUAUGCAAAAUAAAUGAAACAACUCAGACUUUGUAUAUUGUAUGUGACUAUGUAAUUCAGGCCGAGAAAGUAGAAUUUUUACAUAAUCUUGAAUCAUUUAUAGCCACCCUUUACACAUAAUCUAGUAGUUGUAAACACUCUUUACAUACAAUUCAGAAGUUGUAGAUACUCUUUACAUACAAUCCAGAAGUUGUAGAUACUCUAUACAUACAAUUCAGAAGUUGUAGAUACUCUUUACAUACAAUUCAGAAGUUCUAUCCAAUCCAGGCAACACUUAAAACUGGCCUUUGCCUUAAGAAUAAUGCCAACACUGGAGAAUCACAUGUUUCAAGCAUUCUGUUUGUGAACAUUUUCAUGAAAAAUGUUUGUUUAAAGAAGGUAGCUUUAGCAACUAUUUACUGUUAUCUUCUAAAUUAGGGCUGACAGAAUCUCAUGUGUUUAGUUCUUCAGACAUAUUAGACAUUGCUUUGUCACUCUAUUACUUAAUUACCCUUCGUUACCUACAAUACAAGUAUGGCAAGUCAAAACAUUUCAAGAAUUUAUAGUUAUCUUUCAAGUUUGUAAUGUUUUCUCUAUUGACAAAAUUAAAAGAGCCAGAUAAUAUGAGCUAGGAGAAGGUUUUGAAGAGCAAAGGUGGGUUUUUCACUAAACGUUCAAUGUGCUCAUCUGGGCCAAAUACAUUUUCUCCAAGGCCCUGCUAUCCGAAAUAUUCUAUAUAUAUAAUCUAUUCUAUAUUAUAGUGGAUGGAUGUUGAGUGUCUCAGUGUAAUUUAAAUUAUAAAUUUUUUUUUAAUGAUAUUUGUCCUAAGAUGCAAAAUUACUCGGUUCAUUAUUUUACAAUUAUGCAUGACAUUCUUGGGGUCAAUAUUGUCAAUACAGUCAAUUUAAUGGGGUUCCAAAUGUCUGGUCAUGGUCUAACACCAAACAACUGAAUAUUAAAGCCUUUGCCUAGGCACUGUGUUCCAUUCCACUGGAAAUCUGAUUAGUCUCCAACCUCAAAGGCUUAGUGAUACCAUGUAUUUUCUCAAACUGGAAAAGAUUUGAUCGUCUGUAGGGUAACUUUUAAAAUCAUUUGCAUUCUUUUAAACUUUAAGCCUCAUAUAACUCUGCCUUCUAUCUAGGCCCCUUCUAUUUUUUCCCCUCUUCUUUACUAUUAUGUAUUAUUGUUUUUUGGAUAAUGAUUGUGGUAAUGUUUGUUUGCUCAUGUGAAUACCCAUUUACCCAAACUCUACUUGUAUUUUCAUUAUAUGUGAUAUUUCUAAUGCUAUUUGUGGUUGUAUAAUAAGAAGGAUAAUGUAUAGUAACAUUUUGAAUAACCAUAAUAUGGAAUGUUGCACAACAAAAAGUUCAAAAACAAGAUUCCAAAUUUGCUACCAUAAAUGUAUACAAAAUAUUCAACGUUAUCAAGUAGUGAAGGUCUUAGUUUCUGUUGCUCAAUCCUAUAUGAAAGUAAAACAUACUACUUUUUGCUAUAUAUAUAUAUUGUAAAUAUUUUAAACUAGUGUAACUUGUCACACAGCUGAGGUACAUUCUUUAGGUAUAAAGGAAAAUGAAAGCACACUAAGCUAAGCACACUAAGCUAUAGAAGCGAGCAGGUUGUGGAACUCGACACGUUAAGUAAACUUCUCAGCUGUCCCUGGUCUAAAGGGCUGCCUUGAGCUAAAAUAUUUACUACCGUAUGAGAUUGGAUAAGGAGAACUUGCUUUCAGGUAAUUCUGCAAUGGGACAGAGCAACAGUGGCCACAUAUACUACACUAUGUACCAUGGUACAACAUUGGAUGCAGCAAAAAAAAUCGUGCGUAAAGGUUUCAAACGCUCCUCUGAUGGUAUGCUCGGGCCUGGCAUCUAUCUGAGCAAAAGUGUGGAUAAAGCUGCACGUUACCCUCUAAAACCUAAAGGCAAGAGACUGGCCAUCCUGAAACUGCGGGUACGAGUGGGGGUGGUGAAGACAAUUGACAGGCAGGGCCAUCCUUUUCAGAAAACAUGGCAUUAUUAUGGGUACGACACAGCAUGGGUGCCACCAAACUGCGGCAUGGUGCCAAGCGGCCUGGAAGAAAACUGUGUCUGGGAUCCGAACAGAAUAGAAGUGCUUGAAAUGUGGGAAGUUUCAAGAUCAUGAUGACCUGGUAUGCUUGGUUAUAUGCCUUCCUUCAAAUUAUAUAAUAACAUGCUGAUAUUUUUUCUACUUACUAGAAAGAAACUCUUAGAAUAUAAUAUAAAAAUAAUUAUUAGUUAAUAUUCUGAUAUUUAAGUUUUUUUCGCUGCUAGGCAUCACUGAGCACAAAUAUAUCUUCCUUACAUUAUUUUAUAAUUCUUGCUUCCCGCAUAAGGUCCUGAAUUAAAUUUUUUUUUAUCAGAAAAGUGUAUCAAAUACCAUGCACAAUAUUAUAAGGCUAUUAGCUCUAAACCAGUAGACUUUCCUCAUAAACAACUGGGCAAUAUAAUUUAACA